rnacentral:lncRNA from 1 species
CAGAGCACAAGUGUCAGUGCUGAAAUAAUAGAAAUUGGCACUUCUUCAAGUUGAGGAAAUCUUCAAGGUGAAAGUAGAUAUUUAGACUCCAAGGGACUGCCACUUGUGGGGACAUGGAGGACCUGGUGCCUGACAAGCCUCCUGCUGCCUGCAGGCUCUGUUCUAGCAGGCCCCAUGGCUCCAGUCCAGUGUCUUCCCUCCAAGCAACAGGCAGAGCCCCUCUACAUCUGGGUCUGCCUUUCCAGUACAAGCCUUCGGGGGAAGGGGCACCUUGUGCCUCUUCUGCACUCACAAAUACGGGAAGCAAACAUAUGCCAGCAUUAGGGCUGGGGUGAAGAAGAGUUCUACUAUGGAGAAGUCCAAAACUACAAAGAGAAAACAAGAGGGAGCAAACCAAAAACCCCUUCAUAGCAACCCCUGCCUUUGAGCUGGUGGAAGUGUCUGAUGGCUGGGACUCAGGCUCCGCACCUCUGUGGGUGACUCAUCUCCCAAUCUCCCAGGCAGGGGAAAUCUCUGCCAUGAUCAGCUCCAUCCCUCUUCCUGCACCUCAGUGUGCCUUUAGUCAUCGCUAGCCUUAAUUUGCUGCUCCUUCCCGUCUGUGUUAAUAAGGCCCCCAGCU